AGAGUUUGAUCAUGGCUCAGAACGAACGCUGGCGGCAGGCUUAACACAUGCAAGUCGAACGGGCGUAGCAAUACGUCAGUGGCAGACGGGUGAGUAACGCGUGGGAACAUACCCUUCGGUUCGGAAUAGCUCAGGGAAACUUGAAUUAAUACCGAAUACGUCCGAGAGGAGAAAGAUUUAUCGCCGAGGGAUUGGCCCGC
rnacentral:rRNA from 1 species